AAACCAGCACCUCAAGUGGUCAGGAUGAUUAUUGGGCCUAAAGCAUCCGUAGCCGGCUCUGUAAGUUUUCGGUUAAAUCUGUACGCUUAACGUACAGGCUGCUGGGAAUACUGCAGGGCUAGGGAGUGGGAGAGGUAGACGGUACUCGGGAGGAAGUGGUAAAAUGCUUUGAUCUCUCGAUGACCACCUGUGGCGAAGGCGGUCUACCAGAACACGUCCGACGGUGAGGGAUGAAAGCUGGGGGAGCAAACCGGAUUAGAAACCCCAGUAGUCC
rnacentral:rRNA from 1 species